UGCUCGUGAUUGUAUGUCCUAAGUAUAG
rnacentral:sRNA from 1 species